rnacentral:sRNA from 1 species
CCUAAACCCUAAAUCCUAAACCUUAAACCCUAAACCCUAAACCCUAAAUCCUAAACCCUUACCCUAAACCCAAAACACUAAACUAUAGACCCUAAACUUUAAAACCUAAAUUCUACUUUAGCUUCCGGAAUCCAGUUGCAGUUCUAGUUCUUAUACUCAAUCAUACACAUGACAUCUAGUCAU